UCCGGGUGUUUGACGGGUGGAAAAGGUGAUGAUGUGACGUCGAGUCAAGGGUGUAUCACGGACAAAAGACCAAAGAAACCAUCAGGUGCCCAGAAAGAGAAGG